rnacentral:rRNA from 1 species
GACGAACGCUGGCGGCGUGCCUAAUACAUGCAAGUAGAACGCACAGUUUAUACCGUAGCUUGCUACACCAUAAACUGUGAGUUGCGAACGGGUGAGUAACGCGUAGGUAACCUGCCUGGUAGCGGGGGAUAACUAUUGGAAACGAUAGCUAAUACCGCAUAAUAUUGAUUAUUGCAUGAUAAUUGAUUGAAAGAUGCUAUUGCAUCACUACCAGAUGGACCUGCGUUGUAUUAGCUAGUAGGGGAGGUAACGGCUCACCUAGGCGACGAUACAUAGCCGACCUGAGCGGGUGAUCGGCCACCCUGGGACUGAGACACGGCCCAGACUCCUACGGGAGGCAGCAGUAGGGAAUCUUCGGCAAGGGACGAAAGUCUGACCGAGCAACGCCGCGUGAGUGAAGAAGGUUUUCGGAUCGUAAAGCUCUGUUGUAAGAGAAGAACGGGUGUGAGAGUGGAAAGUUCACACUGUGACGGUAUCUUACCAGAAAGGGACGGCUAACUACGUG